AGAGUUUGAUCAUGGCUCAGGAUGAACGCUAGCUACAGGCUUAACACAUGCAAGUCGAGGGGAAACGACAUCGAAAGCUUGCUUUUGAUGGGCGUCGACCGGCGCACGGGUGAGUAACGCGUGAGGAACCUGCCUUGAAGAGGGGGACAACAGUUGGAAACGACUGCUAAUACCGCAUGACGCAUAGAGGUCGCAUGAUCUUUAUGCCAAAGAUUUAUCGCUUCAAGAUGGCCUCGCGUCUGAUUAGCUAGUUGGCGGGGUAACGGCCCACCAAGGCGACGAUCAGUAGCCGGACUGAGAGGUUGAACGGCCACAUUGGGACUGAGAUACGGCCCAGACUCCUACGGGAGGCAGCA
rnacentral:rRNA from 1 species